rnacentral:rRNA from 1 species
UACGAGUGCCCCAAGCGUUAUCCGGAAUUACUGGGCGUAGAGAGUGCGUAGGUGGUUUGUUAAGUUUGUGGUUAAAUCCUGGAGCUCAACUUCAGGGCCGCCACAAAUACUGGCAGACUCGAGGCAGGGAGAGGCAAGUGGAAUUGCCGGUGUAGCGGUAAAAUGCGUUAAUAUCGGCAAGAACACCCAAGGCGAAAGCAUCUUGCUAGAACUGUCCUGACACUGUUGCACGAAAGCGUGGGAGCAAAAAGG